GGUCGAAACCGAAACUAUUAAGUCGUAUUUCAAUCCUUGGCUGCCUUGGCUGGCUUGGCUUCGUGCCAAUUCAAAGCCGCAAGCAACUUCUGGAUCCUUGUUCGUUCCGGAGAGGACACAAAGGCCUUUCUCGGAGUGCGUCGGUCGAUCCGAGUUUAGGAAGUCUGUAUCAUCAAGAAAAAACUGCAGGUGGCUGGAAGCUGCCGAUCAGCUGCCAGUCUGGAUAGUAGCCAUCAACUCAGCAAAGGCCUGCAGGCGAAUCAGCCCAACCUGUUUCUCUGCUGCCUUUCAAGACAGGAUGGUUUGUGAAAAGUGAAACGGGGCCCAUGCACCGCUUCCGCAGGGCCCUGCUGUGGGAGCUCAUGGAGGUGGCACGGUGCAUGGAAGGACAGAGUGGCUGACAGUGAGC
rnacentral:lncRNA from 1 species